UACGUAGGGUGCAAGCGUUGUCCGGAAUUAUUGGGCGUAAAGAGCGUGUAGGCGGCCAGGUAGGUCCGUUGUGAAAACUCGAGGCUCAACCUCGAGCUGUCGAUGGAAACCAUCUGGCUAGAGUCCGGAAGAGGAGAGUGGAAUUCCCGGUGUAGCGGUGAAAUGCGCAGAUAUCGGGAAGAACACCCGUGGCGAAGGCGGCUCUCUGGGACGGUACUGACGCUGAGACGCGAAAGCGUGGGGAGCGAACAGG
rnacentral:rRNA from 1 species